rnacentral:misc_RNA from 1 species
CGCCCUAGGUGGUAGCCUUGCUAGAAGGUGUUUGAAUGAAGAUAUGCCACCAUGAGAUGGCCUAGAUUGAUACUCAACCCUUGAAAACACGCCUUUGUGUCGGCCUUUGUGUCGAGCACCAGCAUGAACCAACUUGUAGUGUUCUGUUAUCUGAAGAUUGCCCCAGUGAGAUAUUUCCACUUCACGUACAAGCUCCUCAACAACAGCAAAUGGAUUGUUAUUCUCAAAAUGAACAAUUAUUGGAGAAAAUGAAUAUGGAGGGCGAUCUUCAUAUGGCCCAUACUUUAGCUCUGUACUGACACGGUUAGUGGGUUCCACUCUUGUGAAUGAUUCCACUUUUGCAGUUGGUGUCUUAAUAAAAGUUGUUUGCUGCUUAAUAUGGUACGGUGACAAUAUUAUAGCACUAUCAUGGUAAUAAACCAACUGUGGUUCUGAUUGGCUUAUCUCAGCUGGAAAAGGUUCCAAAGAAUGUGUUAAAAUGUAAAGCACUUCCAGGGUUGCAGUUUCACCUGAAUUUAAUGGACUGAGCAAAGAUAUAAUAAAAUAUUUAGUUCCAUUUGGUGCAUCAGGUAACUCUGUUGGCUUUACAUCAAGAGGCACAUAAGUUUGCUUCUUCCGCUUUCCCGUAGCAGCUUGUGCUUUGACAACUGCUAGAUGGUCAACUU